rnacentral:lncRNA from 1 species
UGAUCAUGUAAGCUAUUUUCAUAAGACAAGAGAAGUGAGCAGGUGAAGAUGUUGUUGCCGCCUUUGUGUUUGUUCGGAUUGUCUUUCGUAUCUCCUGGUGUGGUUGUGUUUGUUUCACUUUUAUUUGAUGGGUAAUAUGUAAACAAAAAUCAUUGCUAGUUGUAUUUAUCAGCGUUUGUAACUUACUCUGCUUUUUUUAAAGGUAAUUUCACUGAUAUUGGUUGUCGUCAUCUUC